UACGAAGGGGGCUAGCGUUGCUCGGAAUUACUGGGCGUAAAGGGAGCGUAGGCGGACAUUUAAGUCAGAGGUGAAAUCCCGGAGCUUAACUUCGGAACUGCCUUUGAUACUGGAUGUCUUGAGUGUGAGAGAGGUAUGUGGAACUCCGAGUGUAGAGGUGAAAUUCGUAGAUAUUCGGAAGAACACCAGUGGCGAAGGCGACAUACUGGCUCAUUACUGACGCUGAGGCUCGAAAGCGUGGGGAGCAAACAGGAUUAGAUACCCUGGUAGUCCACGCCGUAAACGAUGAUUGCUAGUUGUCGGGAAGCUUGCUUCUCGGUGACGCAGCUAACGCAUUAAGCAAUCCGCCUGGGGAGUACGGUCGCAAGAUUA
rnacentral:rRNA from 1 species